GUUUUUUCUUUCUGGCUUUGUAAAGACUACAGCCUGAUGGGAGCCCUACUUCAUUGUCCAAUUGUGUUCCCACCCUCGAAGGCAUUCUUUUCCAAACGCAGUACUAGUUUCUACAGGUUCACGGGAGCUACAGUAUGUUAGUGCACUGUCUAUCAGAGAUGACUAAAUAAUUACAAUGGCUGCUUCUGAUUACUCUUUCCAAGAAGUGCUGGACAACAAAACAUUUCUGUAUGUUCUUUUACAUAGGAACAUAUAGACUUUCUUAAAUUUGAGCCGGAAUACACUGACGAGGAGUUGAGAUUGUGAGACCAGCAAGCAGCGCAGGCAGCCUAGACCAGGGCUGCGUUCAGUACGUUUUUAUGCUCUGGAAUGUUCAAUUGAACGGAAACGGUGCUGUACUGAAAGACCAGUUGAAAAAUGGGGAGGGAUGAGGAUUGCUGUCAGCAUGGGUAAUGCCCUUUAAAUACAUCACUCAUUGCUUCCAGCCACACCUCGCCCCACCCACCAAACAUACCUCAAAGUCUGUACAAGAACGCGUUGGGGAAAUGCAUUGUUCAGUACAAACCGAUUCGCAACGAAGCAAACAUUCAAGCGAACUGAACGCACCUCCGCUGAACCCGGAGGGUAAAUGACAAACGAACAACACCGCUUGGAUAAUCUCAAAAGGAGAUGUGAAAGGUCCCAUAACAACAAUCUCCCCUUCUAUCAAAGAGACUCCAAACACCUCAUUGCACCCCUAAAAUGCACCAUGCAAGUGUCCCCUGUGUAGAACUGUACUAUUUAUUACAGGCGUAGUAUAUUUGUUAUUCUACUGUAUACUUUGUCAUGCAUUCCCUUAACUGUUCCUUCAUACUGCUGUGUAAACUCAGCUCGGUCUCCAGAGCAAAUAAACUGUCUUGAAUACAA